rnacentral:rRNA from 1 species
AUACGUAGGUGGCAAGCGUUGUCCGGAAUUAUUGGGCGUAAAGCGCGCGCAGGUGGUUCCUUAAGUCUGAUGUGAAAGCCCCCGGCUCAACCGGGGAGGGUCAUUGGAAACUGGGGAACUUGAGUGCAGAAGAGGAUAGUGGAAUUCCAAGUGUAGCGGUGAAAUGCGUAGAGAUUUGGAGGAACACCAGUGGCGAAGGCGACUGUCUGGUCUGUAACUGACACUGAGGCGCGAAAGCGUGGGGAGCAAACAGGAUUAGAUACCCGGGUAGUCCACGCCGUAAACGAUGAGUGCUAAGUGUUGGGGGGUUUCCGCCCCUCAGUGCUGCAGCUAACGCAUUAAGCACUCCGCCUGGGGAGUACGGCCGCAAGGUUAAAACUCAAAUGAAUUGACGGGG